AGGGAGGUAGCUUAAUUGGCUAAAGCGCCUGUUCUCCAAAAACAGGGGAUGAAGGUUCAAAUCUUUCCCUCCCUG
rnacentral:tRNA from 1 species